GGCCUGAUAGCUCAGGGGUUAAGAGCACUAGACAGACAUAGUGGUCACUGGUUCAAUUCCAGCUCAGGUCA